UACGGAGGGGGCUAGCGUUAUUCGGAAUUAUUGGGCGUAAAGGGCGCGUAGGCGGCCCGGUAAGUCAAAGGUGAAAUCCCUCGGCUCAACUGAGGAACUGCCUUUGAAACUGUCGGGCUUGAGGCCGGGAGGAGGGAGCGGAAUUCCCAGUGUAGCGGUGAAAUGCGUAGAUAUCAGGAGGAACACCGGUGGCGAAGGCGGCUUUCUGGACAGAAACUGACGCUGAUGCGCGAAAGCUAGGGGAGCAAACAGG
rnacentral:rRNA from 1 species